rnacentral:rRNA from 1 species
UACGGGGGGCGCAAGCGUUGUUCGGAUUUACUGGGCGGAAAGGGCGCGUAGGCGGCCACCGCAAGUCGACUGUGAAAUCUCCGGGCUUAACUCGGAAAGGUCAGCCGAUACUGCGGGGCUAGAGUGCAGAAGGGGCAACUGGAAUUCUCGGUGUAGCGGUGAAAUGCGUAGAUAUCGAGAGGAACACCUGCGGCGAAGGCGGGUUGCUGGGCUGACACUGACGCUGAAGCGCGAAAGCUAGGGGAGCGAACGGG